AGUAGAACGCUGAAGAGAGGAGCUUGCUCUUCUUGGAUGAGUUGCGAACGGGUGAGUAACGCGUAGGUAACCUGCCUUGUAGCGGGGGAUAACUAUUGGAAACGAUAGCUAAUACCGCAUAACAAUGGAUGACCCAUGUCAUUUAUUUGAAAGGGGCAAAUGCUCCACUACAAGAUGGACCUGCGUUGUAUUAGCUAGUAGGUGAGGUAACGGCUCACCUAGGCGACGAUACAUAGCCGACCUGAGAGGGUGAUCGGCCACACUGGGACUGAGACACGGCCCAGACUCCUACGGGAGGCAGCAGUAGGGAAUCUUCGGCAAUGGGGGCAACCCUGACCGAGCAACGCCGCGUGAGUGAAGAAGGUUUUCGGAUCGUAAAGCUCUGUUGUAAGUCAAGAACGAGUGUGAGAGUGGAAAGUUCACACUGUGACGGUAGCUUACCAGAAAGGGACGGCUAACUACGUGCCAGCAGCCGCGGUAAUACGUAGGUCCCGAGCGUUGUCCGGAUUUAUUGGGCGUAAAGCGAGCGCAGGCGGUUUGAUAAGUCUGAAGUAAAAGGCUGUGGCUCAACCAUAGUUCGCUUUGGAAACUGUCAAACUUGAGUGCAGAAGGGGAGAGUGGAAUUCCAUGUGUAGCGGUGAAAUGCGUAGAUAUAUGGAGGAACACCGGUGGCGAAAGCGGCUCUCUGGUCUGUAACUGACGCUGAGGCUCGAAAGCGUGGGGAGCGAACAGGAUUAGAUACCCUGGUAGUCCACGCCGUAAACGAUGAGUGCUAGGUGUUGGAUCCUUUCCGGGAUUCAGUGCCGCAGCUAACGCAUUAAGCACUCCGCCUGGGGAGUACGACCGCAAGGUUGAAACUCAAAGGAAUUGACGGGGGCCCGCACAAGCGGUGGAGCAUGUGGUUUAAUUCGAAGCAACGCGAAGAACCUUACCAGGUCUUGACAUCCCGAUGCUAUUUCUAGAGAUAGAAAGUUACUUCGGUACAUCGGUGACAGGUGGUGCAUGGUUGUCGUCAGCUCGUGUCGUGAGAUGUUGGGUUAAGUCCCGCAACGAGCGCAACCCCUAUUGUUAGUUGCCAUCAUUCAGUUGGGCACUCUAGCGAGACUGCCGGUAAUAAACCGGAGGAAGGUGGGGAUGACGUCAAAUCAUCAUGCCCCUUAUGACCUGGGCUACACACGUGCUACAAUGGUUGGUACAACGAGUUGCGAGUCGGUGACGGCAAGCUAAUCUCUUAAAGCCAAUCUCAGUUCGGAUUGUAGGCUGCAACUCGCCUACAUGAAGUCGGAAUCGCUAGUAAUCGCGGAUCAGCACGCCGCGGUGAAUACGUUCCCGGGCCUUGUACACACCGCCCGUCACACCACGAGAGUUUGUAACACCCGAAGUCGGUGAGGUAACCUUUGGAGCCAGCCGCCUAAG
rnacentral:rRNA from 1 species